rnacentral:tRNA from 4 species
UCUUCGAUAGUACAGGGGUUAGUAUAUCCGCUUUUCAGGAAUUAAAUUCCUACGCGGACGACCCGGGUUCGAAUCCCGGUCGGAGAA